rnacentral:tRNA from 1 species
UCAAAGAGAAGGGAUUUUAACCCCUACCACUAACUCCCAAAGCUAGGAUUCUUAAUUAAACUACUCUUUG